rnacentral:rRNA from 1 species
GACGAACGCUGGCGGCGUGCUUAACACAUGCAGGUCGAACGGAAAGGCCUUGCUUGCAGGGUACUCGAGUGGCGAACGGGUGAGUAACACGUGGGUGAUCUGCCCUGCACUUCGGGAUAAGCCUGGGAAACUGGGUCUAAUACCGGAUAGGACCAUCGUUUAGUGUCGGUGGUGGAAAGUUUUUCGGUGCAGGAUGAGCUCGCGGCCUAUCAGCUUGUUGGUGGGGUAAUGGCCUACCAAGGCGUCGACGGGUAGCCGGCCUGAGAGGGUGGACGGCGACAUUGGGACUGAGACACGGCCCAGACUCCUACGGGAGGCAGCAGUGGGGAAUAUUGCACAAUGGGCGCAAGCCUGAUGCAGCGACGCCGCGUGGGGGAUGAAGGCCUUCGGGUUGUAAACUCCUUUCAACCAUGACGAAGCGUAAGUGACGGUAGUGGUAGAAGAAGCACCGGCUAACUACGUGCCAGCCGCCGCAGUAA